rnacentral:rRNA from 1 species
ACGAACGCUGGCGGCGUGCCUAAUACAUGCAAGUUGAGCGAUGAAGAUUGGUGCUUGCACCAAUUUGAAGAGCAGCGAACGGGUGAGUAACGCGUGGGGAAUCUGCCUUUGAGCGGGGGACAACAUUUGGAAACGAAUGCUAAUACCGCAUAACAACUUUAAACAUAAGUUUUAAGUUUGAAAGAUGCAAUUGCAUCACUCAAAGAUGAUCCCGCGUUGUAUUAGCUAGUUGGUGAGGUAAAGGCUCACCAAGGCGAUGAUACAUAGCCGACCUGAGAGGGUGCUCGGCCACCUUGGGACUGAGACACGGCCCAAACUCCUACGGGAGGCAGCAGUAGGGAAUCUUCGGCAAUGGACGAAAGUCUGACCGAGCAACGCCGCGUGAGUGAAGAAGGUUUUCGGAUCGUAAAACUCUGUUGGUAGAGAAGAACGUUGGUGAGAGUGGAAAGCUCAUCAAGUGACGGUAACUACCCAGAAAGGGACGGCUAACUACGUG